rnacentral:rRNA from 1 species
AAUAGAUACCCGGGUAGUCCACGCCGUAAACGAUGAGUGCUAAGUGUUAGAGGGUUUCCGCCCUUUAGUGCUGCAGCUAACGCAUUAAGCACUCCGCCUGGGGAGUACGGUCGCAAGACUGAAACUCAAAGGAAUUGACGGGGGCCCGCACAAGCGGUGGAGCAUGUGGUUUAAUUCGAAGCAACGCGAAGAACCUUACCAGGUCUUGACAUCCUCUGACAACUCUAGAGAUAGAGCGUUCCCCUUCGGGGGACAGAGUGACAGGUGGUGCAUAGUUGUCGUCAGCUCGUGUCGUGAGAUGUUGGGUUAAGUCCCGCAACGAGCGCAACCCUUGAUCUUAGUUGCCAGCAUUUAGUUGGGCACUCUAAGGUGACUGCCGGUGACAAACCGGAGGAAGGUGGGGAUGACGUCAAAUCAUCAUGCCCCUUAUGGCCUGGGCUACACACGUGCUACAAUGGAUGGUACAAAGGGCUGCAAGACCGCGAGGUCAAGCCAAUCCCAUAAAACCAUUCUCAGUUCGGA